CAGCAGCCAUCCACAUUGAGGCAAGACCUUCCAGCAGCAGAAUAAUGAUGAUUGGCUGAAGACACUUGAUUGUUAGCAUUUUUCAGCAAUAUUUUAAAAUUAAGGAACCCACAAUGAAGGAGUGGACGUAAUGGACCGCCAGACAUGUGACCCAAGAGAAGUAUUUACAAAACAUUCCAAAAGCAACAGGAGGAAGCUCCCCGCCUCUGAAACCUAACACAAUACAACGGAACAGAAGAUGCCUGUAUGAAGAAAUAAGCAGGAAAACUAAUCAGGGCAUGUCUGCGAUUCCCUCCUCUUAUUUCAGGGCUUUGAAUUUUUCACAGCAAGGGUGAAGGCACAAUCUAGGGGUGUUGGCUUCACUCCUGUGCAAAGCGGCCCACAAAACAGCAACCACGGAAAAAGCCAAUGGGAUGAGAAUUGGACUUCCAGACAUCUCUCCGUGUGAAAUGCAUUCUGAGAUUAUGAGUUUUCAACAAGCUGAGAGCGGAUGUGACAACGGGCCCUGAUACAAGAGCCCCCUCCUCCCGUUCCGUGCCGUCAUGUUCUUUCCAAGAGGCUGCAACUCAAAUCUUCUCUAGUGAAAACAGCACAGAAGGUUCUUCUGGCUGCUGGAGAGUCUUCCAGGACACCAUGACAAGCCGACGUGGCCUCCACGUCUCUUUGGCAGAGUCCUAUAUUUCUCAGUAUGGUGGUGACCCGGGGACCCAGGGAGCAGAGCAGAUGGCUGAAACAUCCACACGUAGCCUACUGUGAAUACAAACGAUACUUCUGCAGGAGGGGACACUUAGCACUUUUGGUGGAAUUCUGUAAUAUAGCCAACCCACCCCAAAAAAAUGCAAAGGGAACACUGAACUUGGCACACAAGCAGGAGAGAGGGGAUACUGUCUUUUAACUCUUCUCCUAAUGACAUCAGGUCAUAUAAGGCUAUGUCAAGGAAACGGCUUCCACUUUUCUUUGGCAAAGGCCUCGAUAAGUGACAGAAAGUAGGGACUGCCCCCCGAAAUAAGGCUACCACUGCACAACUGUUACCAAAGAUUAAACACCCCCAAAGGAAGAAGCACAGAGGUCAACUGCUGAACAAUUUAAGCUGAUUGGAUGGGUAUGCUUGAGGCUAACCAGUUCUGCAAAGGGAAACACACGGUUUCGAAGCACGGGGAUAAGUAGACGUUACCUUGUGUCUUCUGCACAUCUUGCAUCUUCCUUCCCUGACAGCUGGUCAGAAAUAGGGGCAUCAGGCCAUUUCCCUGUUUCCCAACAGGGUAAUAGCCAACCUACUUCCAGAGAAGAUUUGGAAAAAGAGACAACUAAGCUAGUGAAAUAGAAUAGUUUUUUCUCAUCAAAACAUGAUUUAUUAAUUUUAAGCAAGAGUAAGCAUAUGUGAUAGUGGCCAGCUUGGGGAUAGAACUCU
rnacentral:lncRNA from 10 species